rnacentral:rRNA from 1 species
AUUGAACGCUGGCGGCAGGCUUAACACAUGCAAGUCGAGCGGGGGAAGGUAGCUUGCUACUGGACCUAGCGGCGGACGGGUGAGUAAUGCUUAGGAAUCUGCCUAUUAGUGGGGGACAACAUCUCGAGAGGGAUACUAAUACCGCAUACGUCCUACGGGAGAAAGCAGGGGAUCUUCGGACCUUGCGCUAAUAGAUGAGCCUAAGUCGGAUUAGCUAGUUGGUGGGGUAAAGGCCUACCAAGGCGACGAUCUGUAGCGGGACUGAGCGGAUGAGCCGCCACACUGGGACUGAGACACGGCCCAGGCUCCUACGGGAGGCAGCAGUGGGGAAUAUUGGACAAUGGGGGGAACCCUGAGCCAGCCAUGCCGCGGGUGUGAAGAAGGCCUUAUGGUGUUAAAGCACUUUAAGCGAGGAGGAGGCUACUCUAGUUAAUACCUAGGGAUAGUGGACGUUACUCGCAGAAUAAGCACCGGCUAACUCUGUGCCAGCCGCCGCAGUAA